UACGGGGGGAGCAAGCGUUGUUCGGAUUUACUGGGCGUAAAGGGCGCGUAGGCGGCCACCGCAAGUCGGUUGUGAAAUCUCUGGGCUUAACCCAGAAAGGUCAACCGAUACUGCGGGGCUGGAGUGCAGAAGGGGCAACUGGAAUUCUCGGUGUAGCGGUGAAAUGCGUAGAUAUCGAGAGGAACACCAGUGGCGAAGGCGAGUCCCUGGACAACUCCUGACACUGAGGCACGAAAGCUAGGGGAGCAAACAGG
rnacentral:rRNA from 1 species